AAGACCGAACGCUGAUCUCGAAGAUAUAAAACGCAUAUUAAACAAGCUUGCGGCAUCAGGAAUUCGUUGCGACAUUUCGAGGAGGGCCACGGCGUAGACGGAGUUACGUGUGCUCCAUUAGAGUCGGAUCUCCAGAAGCAUGUAGCAACACGUGAAUUGGGGAACCUGCGUUCGAACGUACGGCAAUCGUAUGUAAACGCCGAGCUUGAUAAAAACGGUAGCACUCAGUGUCUAAGGUUAUCGGAACCGCGGCCUAUAAACAAAUCGACCGACGGCUCGCACGAAAUCAGUUGACCAUCUCCAGCGACUGUAGAAACACCGUGCAACAUGUGGACGAAAUUGACCGCUCUGCUCUUGCUGUUCGCCGUCGCGACGUCUGUGCUCCUCGACGAACCAGAAAGGAGAUGCGUGGAUGGGAAAAGUUAUAACGAUGGAUGCAACUGGUGCAACUGUAUGGGAGGAUUGACGGCGUGCACUUCAAUGGCAUGCGGACGAUACGAUUCUGAAACCGGCGAAUUCGUUCCAACAGAGACUCUGCCUCCACCGGAAGAUUAUUGGGUCGCCUAAUUAGAGUGUAAUCGUUCAAAUUAUGCAGUGUCUACGGUCUUGAUUUAUAUGGAUCGUAUCUUGCCCGAAGGAAGGCUUCUUCUGCUGCUAAAAAUAUUGUAUGUCUUUAUCGAUCACUGUGCUGUACUGUUGGCUAGAAUUAAUUGUAUGAGAAAUGACAGUGUAUCUGGCACGAGAAUCUACUGAAAUCGAUUCGAGCAUCGGCACCAGAAA